rnacentral:sRNA from 1 species
GCAUCGAUGAAGAACGCAGCGAAAUGCGAUAAGUAAUGUGAAUUGCAGAAUUCAGUGAAUCAUCGAAUCUUUGAACGCACCUUGCGCUCCUUGGUAUUCCGAGGAGCAUGCCUGUUUGAGUGUCGUGAAAUUCUCAACCCUUGCGGCUUUGUUGCUCGCUCGGGCUUGGACUUGGGGGUGUCUUGCUGGCCGCUCGCGCGGUCGGCUCCCCUGGAAUGUAUUAGCUGGGUUUCUCCGACUCGGGGUGGUUCACGGUGUGAUACUUUUUUGUUGACGCCUUGUAUCUCGAGUCUGGCUUGGCUUACAAUCAAGUCUUCAUUGGCUUACUUUUAACGAUCUGACCUCAAAUCAGGUAGGACUACCCGCUGAACUUAAGCAUAUCAAUAAGCGGAGGA